rnacentral:lncRNA from 1 species
CUUGGAUUUACUUGGAUUUUAAGUUCAUACCAACUGUCUUAUAGAAUCUUCUGCUUCCUAGGACUGCCUAAUUUUUCCUUAAUGAUUAGGUUCAGGUAAAACAUUUGGGGCCAGAGCGUGGUACCAAUGAUGGGCGACCUUAUUUUGUUACGCCAGAAAGUAAGUUUUUAGAAAUAAAGUGAACGAGCCACACAGUGAAUGGAUCUAUAUUUUCGAAUCGCCCCAUGUGCAAUGAAAACGCAGUGUGUUUUUUCAUAACAGUCUUAGCAUCAGCUCUUGUGAUUUUUAAAAUUCCACUGUAAACAACAAGCCUUCUGCACUCCUGUGAAGGGGACGUUAAACAAGCCUGUGAACUAAUGCUAGGUACCUUUUGCAGAAUCUGGAACUUCUCCUAUCAAGACCAAAACCAAACCAGAUGAAACAGCACCUUGCGAAAACAGGAAAACCCACCCUUCACAAGCUUGACAGAAUACCACUUCCAAGUUACAGAACUUUCAAAUAGUUCUGAACUGAAACCUCUGAACCCAAAGGGGCAGAACUGGCUGAAGAGGAAGGCGUACCAGGCUCCGCAGCGCCCGAAGGCUGGAGAUGAAUCCCUGCGGCCCCCCCUCCUGGCGGCCUCCCCGGCCCGCUGCCCCACUCUAGCGCUCACACCUGGAAGAACCACUUUGAACUCUCCUAGCUGUUGCUUCUGGCAACCACCUUCCCAUUAUUAUAUAAUAUGCUUAUAUGGUUUGCUGUUGAUUUCUCCAUCGUUGAUGGUAUCAAUUCUCUGUUAUGAUGGAU